GCAGAACAGUUGCGAGCUCCCUCGCUAGCAGACGACCGCUCCUCGUCCGAGCAGCAGACGACGCGGACGCUUCGAGAAAAGUUCGUCUGCCCACGGAGAAAAGUUCGUCUGCUUCGGAAAACACUUGGAUAUUAAGGCCUUCUUGGAUUAUCCGCCAAGCAUCAAGGCGUUGUUCUACGGUAGGCUUCUGCAUUAUAGGCUCUGAUGUGUCCGGAUGAAUUUCUCGCCUGGCCGUUUCCGGUCCCCCGGAACAGGUCGGUGGGAUUUUCGUCCGUUUACGUCAGGCCUACAACAACCGUUAGCAGACGUCUUAGCGACAAUGACGUCACCAGCCAAGAAGACUUCCGGUUUCUGACGCCUCUCUCCUUUCCCGAGGGGAAUGCUUGACCUUGAAUGACCUUGUACCCAUUCGUUUCCUCUUGGAAUGUCUGUUCGUAUUACAACAUACUACUUCUGCAUCUGACGGCAUUAGCUUGACACGAAUCGGGGGCUUAAAGUGAACAAGUGGAUUGCGACGCUUCCUCGCGUCACGGGUAGUGUUUUAGAACCACACUUAAUGCCCAGAUUCGUCUAAAUAAGUGACGCUCAGAGAUAGACAUUGAAUGUCCAGACUAAUAAAAACAAACUAUAAUUGGU